UACGAAGGGGGCGAGCGUUGUUCGGAUUUACUGGGCGUAAAGGGCGCGCAGGCGGCUCAUUUUGUCAGGCGUGAAAGCCCCGGGCUUAACCUGGGAACUGCAUUUGUGACUGCAUCGCCGGAGUGCGGCAGAGGGGGAUGGAAUUCCGCGUGUAGCAGUGAAAUGCGUAGAUAUGCGGAGGAACACCGAUGGCGAAGGCAAUCCCCUGGGCCUGCACUGACGCUCAUGCACGAAAGCGUGGGGAGCAAACAGGAUUAGAACCUACCG
rnacentral:rRNA from 1 species